rnacentral:rRNA from 1 species
AUUGAACGCUGGCGGCAGGCCUAACACAUGCAAGUCGAACGAGUGGCGGACGGGUGAGUAAUGUCUGGGAAACUGCCUGAUGGAGGGGGAAAACUACUGGAAACGGUAGCUAAUACCGCAUACCAUAAGAUGUGGACAGAUGGGAUUAGCUUGUUGGUGGGGUAACGGCUCACCAAGGCGACGAUCCCUAGCUGGUCUGAUAGGAUGACCAGCCAAACUGGAACUGAGACACGGUCCAGACUCGUACGGGAGUCAGGAGUGGGGAAUAUGGCACAAUGGGCGCAAGCCUGAUGCAGCCAUUCCGCGUGUAGGAAGAAGGCCUUCGGGUUGUAAAGUACUUUCAGCGGGGAGGCGUUACCCGCAGAAGAAGCACCGGCUAACUCCGUGCCAGCAGCCGCGGUAAUUC